CAGGGUGUAGCUCAGUGGUAGAGAGCUUGCCUAACAUGCAUAAGGCCCCAGGUUUGAUCCCGAGCACCCUAA
rnacentral:tRNA from 1 species